rnacentral:lncRNA from 1 species
AGGAGAUGAGGAAUUGUGAAAUUCAUGAUUCAAACUAGUACUACAGUAUUAUGUGGUGCGUCUUGUGAUUUGGAGUUAGGCUUGAAGAUGAUGAGGGGAUUUAGCUUAGUUUAGACAUUAGCAGAUGGAAAUAUCAGCGGCCCUGUGAGAAAAAAUAAGCGGAAUCAAUGAGCAUGGUGUUUAAGGGAAAAGUAUAGUUGAGAGAGUAUUUUAGAAGUAUGUCUAAUCUUGAAAGUAAGAAGUUGCAAUGCCUAAGGUUUG